CAUGAUGGGAUUAUUAAAGAAUUUCGGUAUGGGAUGGGGAUGCGUUCCAUUAGUUAGUUGGCGGGGUAACGGCCCACCAAGACGACGAUGGAUAGGGGUUCUGAGAGGAAGGUCCCCCACAUUGGAACUGAGACACGGUCCAAACUCCUACGGGAGGCAGCAGUGAGGAAUAUUGGUCAAUGGACGAGAGUCUGAACCAGCCAAGUAGCGUGAAGGGGGGCUGCCAUAUGGGUUGUAAACUUCUUUUAUAUGGGAAUAAAAUGUUCCACGUGUGGGAUUUUGUAUGUACCAUAUGAAUAAGGAUCGGCUAACUCCGUGCCAGCAGCCGCGGUAAUACGGAGGAUCCGAGCGUUAUCCGGAUUUAUUGGGUUCAAAGGGAGCGUAGGUGGAUUGUUAAGUCAGUUGUGAAAGUUUGCGGCUCAACCGUAAAAUUGCAGUUGAAACUGGCAGUCUUGAGUACAGUAGAGGUGGGCGGAAUUCGUGGUGUAGCGGUGAAAUGCUUAGAUAUCACGAAGAACUCCGAUUGCGAAGGCAGCUCACUGGACUGCAACUGACACUGAGGCUCGAAAGUGUGGGUAUCAAACAGGAUUAGAUACCCUGGUAGUCCACACAGUAAACGAUGAAUACUCGCUGUUUGCGAUAUACAGCAAGCGGCCAAGCGAAAGCAUUAAGUAUUCCACCUGGGGAGUACGCCGGCAACGGUGAAACUCAAAGGAAUUGACGGGGGCCCGCACAAGCGGAGGAACAUGUGGUUUAAUUCGAUGAUACGCGAGGAACCUUACCCGGGCUUAAAUUGCACCUGAAUAAUGUGGAAACAUGUUAGCCGUAAGGCAGGUGUGAAGGUGCUGCAUGGUUGUCGUCAGCUCGUGCCGUGAGGUGUCGGCUUAAGUGCCAUAACGAGCGCAACCCUUAUCUUCAGUUACUAACAGGUUAUGCUGAGGACUCUGGAGAGACUGCCGUCGUAAGAUGUGAGGAAGGUGGGGAUGACGUCAAAUCAGCACGGCCCUUACGUCCGGGGCUACACACGUGUUACAAUGGGAGGUACAGAAGGCCGCUACCUGGCGACAGGAUGCCAAUCCCCAAAACCUCUCUCAGUUCGGAUCGAAGUCUGCAACCCGACUUCGUGAAGCUGGAUUCGCUAGUAAUCGCG
rnacentral:rRNA from 1 species